GGUCGCAUCACGUUGAAACAACGGUUCUCGUACGAUCACCGAAGUUAAGCAACGUCGAGCCUGGACAGUAUCUAUAUGGGUGAACGCUUGAGAAAGUCAGAUGCGGU